CCCUUAGAUGUUCUGGGCCGCACGCGCGCUACACUGAUGAAUUCAACAAGUACUAUCCUUGGCCGAUAGGUCUGGGUAAUCUUUGAAAAUUCAUCGUGACGGGGAUUGAGGACUGUAACUGUUCUCAUAAACGAGGAAUGCCUAGUAAGCGUGAUUCAUCAGAUCGCGUUGAUUACGUCCCUGCCCUUUGUACACACCGCCCGUCGCUCCUACCGAUUGAAUGAUCCGGUGAAGUCCUCGGACCGUCGCUGUGUCGCAGGUUCGCCUGCGACGUGGUGGUGGGAAGUUGCCUAAACCUUAUCAUUUAGAGGAAGGAGAAGUCGUAACA
rnacentral:rRNA from 1 species